rnacentral:lncRNA from 1 species
CCAUUUCCAAUCCAGAGGAAGACCUUCUAGAAGAAGUGAUGGGUGGGAGAGUGCUGACAUACUAUGCAAAGCUACUAUUUGGAGUUGGACACGAGUGCAUGUGACCUUGUGCCACAGCGGGAAUGUGAGCUGGAUGACAAAUGGAGAUUUGGACUUGUGAUAAUUGGCCUCUGUGUCAUUGUGUGGAAGACUGACUGGUCCCUUUAUUUCCUGUAGCUUGACUACCACACAAAUUAAUCCACUCAAAUGUUGGCAAGUGGAGCAGAGUCCCAGGACAGGUACAGAAACACCCCCAGUUCAAGGAUCUUCACACCUGGAUUUAGGCCUACACCUGCAACUACCCCAGGCCAGUUAUCCAGGCAGUGACUUUCUGUACAGCUACAGUCACCUCUGGACACCUGCGGAGACUUUAAAAAUUUCCAGAAGGUCAGGAAUUUUUGGAGACCUUUCUUAUGGCUACGUUGCCUGCAAAGGUGAAUCAAUAAGCUUCUGAACUGACUUAGAAAAUGUUGCAGAGACUCUUGUGAACAGAUAGACCCUCUCCUGCCACUCCAGAUAGACGUAUCCGGGUCACACACACCUGAUUUAACAACAUCUCAUUAUCUCAG